GAGAGGUGGCCGAGCGGUUUAAGGCACCAGUCUUGAAAACUGGCGAUCCCGCGAGGGGCCGUGGGUUCGAAUCCCACCCUCUCC
rnacentral:tRNA from 1 species